UCUCUCAGCGCCGCGGAUGCUCUCGGGCAGCGGCGGCCGCGGUGCCCGGCUCGCGGGGCCAUGGCGGCUCCGGACAGCUGCGUGAAGGUGGCCGUGAGGAUCCGUCCUCAACUGUCCAAAGAGAAAAUAGAGGGAUGUCACAUCUGCACCUCAGUGACACCCGGAGAGCCCCAGGUGCUAUUGGGGAAGGACAAGGCCUUCACCUAUGACUUUGUCUUUGACCUGGACACGUGGCAGGAGCAGAUCUAUACAACGUGUGUUGGCAAGCUCAUUGAAGGCUGCUUUGAGGGCUACAAUGCCACUGUGCUGGCGUAUGGACAGACUGGUGCAGGGAAGACGUACACCAUGGGCACCGGCUUUGACGUGAACAUCUCUGAGGAAGAGCAGGGCAUCAUCCCGCGGGCCAUCAGCCACCUCUUCAGCGGCAUUGAGGAGCGCAAGCGCACGGCGCAGAGUCAGGGCAGGGCAGCUCCGGAGUUCAAAGUCAGUGCCCAGUUCCUGGAGCUCUACAAUGAAGAGAUCCUGGACCUGUUUGAUAGUGCCCGUGACCCUGACGUGCGCCAUCGCAAAUCGAACAUCAAAAUCCAUGAGGAUGCCAGUGGAAGCAUCUACACUACAGGGGUUACGUCACGCCUCAUCAACUCACAGGAUGAGCUGAUCCAGUGCCUGAAGCAGGGAGCCCUUUCCCGCACCACGGCCAGCACCCAGAUGAAUGUGCAGAGCUCCCGGUCCCACGCCAUCUUCACCAUUCACCUCUGCCAGAUGAGAGUGUGCACCCGCCCGGAGCUGAUGAAUGGGGAGGUGACCAGCCUCCUGGAUGGAUCUCAACCCACCACAGAGUAUGAGACCCUCACUGCCAAGUUUCACUUCGUGGACCUGGCUGGCUCAGAGAGGCUGAAACGAACGGGUGCUACCGGCGAGAGGGCCAAGGAAGGCAUCUCCAUCAACUGUGGACUGCUGGCCCUGGGGAACGUCAUCAGUGCCCUCGGAGACCAGAGCAAGAAGGUUGUGCACGUGCCCUACCGUGACUCCAAGCUCACCCGCCUGCUGCAGGAUUCCCUUGGGGGCAACAGCCAAACCAUCAUGAUCGCGUGUGUGAGCCCCUCUGACCGGGACUUCAUGGAGACCCUGAACACGCUCAAGUACGCCAACCGGGCCCGCAACAUCAAGAACAAGGUGGUGGUGAACCAGGACAAGACAAGUCAGCAGAUCAGUGCCCUGAGGGCCGAGAUCGCCCGCCUGCAGAUGGAGCUGAUGGAGUACAAGGCGGGAAAGCGGGUCAUUGGGGAGGAUGGCUCAGAAGGCUACAGCGACCUGUUCCGUGAGAAUGCCAUGCUGCAGAAGGAGAACAGCACCCUGCGCAUGCGGGUGAAGGCCAUGCAAGAGGCCAUUGAUGCCAUCAACAGCAGGGUCACCCAACUCAUGAGCCAGGAGGCCAACCUCAUGCUGGCUAGGGCAGGAGAUGGUAAUGAAGCUAUUGGCACCCUCAUCCAGAACUACAUCCGGGAGAUCGAAGAGCUGAGGACGAAGCUCCUGGAGAGUGAGUCCAUGAAUGAGUCCCUGCGUCGCAGCCUCUCCCGCGUCUCUGCUCGGGCCCCAUAUCCCAUGGGCUCAUCCCCAGGCUCCAGCCUGGCUGGGCUGUGUAGCCCUGCUGCACCGGUGGACACGGAGGCUUCCGAUGUCCUUCGACGGGCCAAGCAGGACCUGGAGCGCCUCAAGAAGAAAGAAAGGAGGCAGCGGAGGAAGAGCCCAGAGAAGGAAGCAUUUAAGAAGAGGCAGAAACUGCAGCAGGACAAUGAGGAGGAGACUGAUGAGAAUGAGGUGGAAGAGGAGGAAGAGGAUCAGGAUGAGAGCGGCUGUGAGGAGGAAGAAGGACGUGAGGAUGAAGACGAGGAUUCGGGCAGUGAAGAGAGCCUGGUGGACUCAGACUCAGACACAGAGGAGAAGGCCGUGAACUUCCAGGCUGACCUGGCAGAUCUGACUUGUGAGAUAGAGAUCAAGCAGAAGCUGAUCGAUGAGCUAGAGAACAGCCAGCGGCGCCUGCAGACCCUCAAGCACCAGUACGAGGAGAAGCUGAUCCUGCUGCAGAACAAGAUUCGGGACACGCAGCUGGAGCGGGACCGGGUCCUGCAGAACCUCAGUACUAUGGAGUGCUACACAGAGGAGAAAGCCAACAAGAUCAAAGCAGACUACGAGAAGCGGCUGAAGGAGAUGAACCGGGACCUGCAGAAGCUCCAGGCAGCCCAGAAGGAGCAUGCUCGCCUGCUCAAGAACCAGUCCCGCUACGAGCGGGAGCUGAGGAAGCUGCAGGCAGAGGUGACCGAGAUGAAGAAGGCAAAGGUGGCACUGAUGAAGCAGAUGCGGGAGGAGCAGCAGCGCAGGCGUCUGGCAGAGACAAAGAGGAACCGGGAGAUAGCGCAGCUCAAGAAGGAGCAGCGGCGGCAGGAGUUUCAGAUCCGGGCUCUGGAGUCUCAGAAGCGGCAGCAGGAAAUAGUGCUGCGGAGGAAAACUCAGGAGGUCUCGGCGCUGCGCCGCCUCGCUAAGCCCAUGUCUGAGCGGGUGGCGGGCAGGACGAGCCAGAAGCCGGCCAUGCUGGACUCGGGUGCCGAGGUCUCGGCUAGCACCACAUCCUCCGAGCCCGAGUCUGGCGCUCGCUCCGUCUCCAGCAUUGUGCGCCAGUGGAACAGGAAGAUCAACAACUUCCUGGGAGACCCCUCGUCCCCUGCGAACGGGGCUCGGCCCCCCAGGAAGAAGUUCCCCAAGAAGGGGACGAGUCAGACUUUCAGCAAAGCCGCCCGCCUCAAGUGGCAGUCGCUGGAGCGGCGAAUCUUUGACAUCGUCAUGCAGAGAAUGACUAUUGUUAACCUGGAGGCUGACAUGGAGCGGCUCAUCAAGAAACGCGAGGAGCUGACCCUGCUGCAGGAAGCGUUGCUAGGCAAGAGGUCAAAACUGCAGGCAGAGAAUCCCAAGGGGCUGCAGGAGCUGAACGAGGAGAUCGAGGUGCUGGCGGCCAACAUCGACUACAUAAACGACAGCAUUUCUGACUGCCAGGCCACCAUCAUGCAGAUCGAGGAGACCAAGGAGGAGCUGGACUCCACAGACACCUCGGUGGUGAUCAGCUCCUGCUCCCUUGCCGAAGCCCGGCUCCUGCUGGACAACUUCCUGAAGGCCUCCAUCGACAAGGGGCUGCAGGUAGCACAGAAGGAGGCCCAGAUCCGCCUGCUGGAGGGGCGGCUGCGGCAGACAGACAUGGCCGGCUCCUCGCAGAACCACGCCAUCCUGGACGCGCUGCGGGAGAAGGCUGAGUCGCACCCCGAGCUGCAGGCCCUGAUCCACAACGUCCAGCAAGAGAACGGCUACACCAGCACGGACGAGGAGGUCUCAGAGUUCAGCCUGGCUUCAGAUGGGAGCAUCUCCCAGUCUUUCACCAUGAAGGGUUCAGCAAGCCAGGAUGACUUCAAGUUCAAGGGAGAGCCCAAGCUCUCGGGGCAGAUGAAGGCAGUGUCAGCUGAGUGUCUAGGACCCACGCUGGAUGUCUCCACCAAGAACAUCACCAAGUCCCUGGCAUCCCUCAUGGAGAUCAAAGAGGAUGGGAUCAGCUUCUCCGUCAGAGACCCCUAUUACAAGGAGAAGGUGUCACGCACCAUCAGCCUGCCCACACGAGGAAGCACCUUUCCCAGGCAGUCUCGUGGCUCGGACACUUCACCUCUGACCAGGAGGAAAUCCUACGACCGUGGCCAGCCUGCCAGGCCUCCAGAUGUUGGCUUCACGCCUCCCUCAUCCCCACCCACCCGUCCACGCAACGACCGCAAUGUCUUCUCUCGUCUCACGAGCAACCAGAGCCAAGGGUCUGCCCUGGACAAGUCUGAUGACAGCGAUUCCUCUGUCUCGGAGGUGCUGAGGGGUGUCAUUAACCCGGUGGGUGGCACCAAGAAUGCCCGGACAGCCCCGCUGCAAUGCGUCUCCAUGGCAGAAGGACACACCAAGCCUGUGCUCUGCCUGGAUGCCACUGAUGAGCUGCUGUUCACUGGGUCCAAAGACCGAAGCUGCAAAAUGUGGAACCUGGUAACAGGCCAAGAAAUUGCUUCCCUCAAGGGUCACCCAAACAACGUGGUUUCCAUCAAGUACUGCAGCCACACGGGGCUGGUGUUCACUGUGUCUACGUCAUACAUCAAAGUGUGGGACAUCCGGGACUCAGCCCGCUGCAUCCGCACCCUCACAUCUUCUGGACAGGUGAUCUCUGGGGAUGCCUGUGCUGGGACCAGCACCCGCACGGUCACCAGUGUGCAGGGGGAGCACCAGAUCAACCAGAUUGCUCUGAACCCCACUGGCACCAUGCUCUAUGCUGCCACUGGGAACUCCGUCCGCAUCUGGGAGCUGAGCAGGUUGCAGCCCAUCGGGAAGCUGAGUGGCCACAUUGGGCCUGUGAUGUGUCUCACAGUAAACCAGACGGCGAGCAACCACGACCUGGUGGUCACAGGCUCCAAAGAUCACUAUAUCAAGGUAUUUGAGAUUGCUGAGGGUAUGGUGGGUAAUAUUGGCCCCACUCACAACUUUGAGCCCCCUCACUACGAUGGCAUCGAGUGCCUGGCCAUCCAGGGAGACAUCCUCUUCAGUGGCUCCAGGGACAAUGGCAUAAAGAAGUGGGAUCUGGAGCAGCAGGAACUUAUCCAGCAAAUCCCCAAUGCUCACAAAGACUGGGUGUGUGCCCUGGCUUUCAUUCCCGGGCGCCCCAUGGUGCUGAGCGCUUGCCGAGGAGGCAUGAUCAAAGUGUGGAACGUGGACACCUUCACCCCCAUUGGGGAGAUCAAGGGACACGACAGCCCCAUCAACGCCAUCUGCACCAACUCAAAGCACAUCUUCACUGCCUCCAGUGACUGCCGGGUAAAGUUAUGGAAUUACGUGCCUGGGCUCACCCCUUGCCUUCCACGACGCGUCCUUGCCAUAAAGGGCCGUGCUACUAGUCUGCCUUGACCCUUCUGCUCUUUCUCUCUUGCUCAUGCAGUCUUCUUCUGUCUUUUCUUCCCUGUUCUCUUUCUCUCCAUCUUUUUCUCCCUCUGUCUUUCUGUCGCUUGCUUUCGCUCCUCUCUCCCUCCCCCUCUCUCUUUUUCUUCUCUCUGGUCUGAGCUGCUUCUUCACGUGACUUGACAGUGAAGCUCUGGAGCGGGAGGAGGUUACCCACAGGGUCCAACUAGAAGCUGCAAAGACUGGAGGACAUGACAGGAGGGUGAAGGUCGGGGUACCUCUCCCUCACUAUCAAGACCUGGUCAUCCCUAGGAGCUCAGUCCAGGGACAGGGAUUUCUUUGUGCAUGACCUGGUGGGGUGGACGAUGUCCCAUCUGGUACUUUGACCACUACUAGCUCCUGUUAGAAGGCAGCUCCACAGGGCAUCAUCAGCUCCACCUUCCCUCCUGUUGAGGUUUCUUGGUGGUUUUCCAGUGACCAUGAAGUGUUUCAGCUCUUUUCUCACCCACCCUGCUGUAAUGCCGGAUGGAAACUGUGGGCAUCAGAGCCCCUUGGCUCCUUCUGAGACACCCCCUUGCC